rnacentral:ncRNA from 1 species
UAGAAGUUUUAUUCUUGCUUGUGUGUUCAAUAUUUGUUUGUUUUAUAUGUAAGGGUUUACGUGAGUUUACUCCAGGUUUCUAGAAGGGGCGGAGGUAGUCGUAGUAUUAAUUCUCAUUAGUUAUUAUUAGUUGAUCAAGUGUCCUUGUAUUUAGCAACUCAUUUUAGUUUCGGUUAAAUUUUGUGCCAGCAGCCGCGGUUAUACCUUGGAGGCAUUUGAACAUGUUCGGUGUGUGUAGUUUUAUGUUUAUUUUAGUUGAUUUUAUUUUAUUAACUUAUUGGGUGAAAUUUUUAUUAUUAUUUAUAUCAUUUGUUUGUUUGGAGGCUAUGAAAUUCCUUUUAUAAACUAGGAUUAGAUACCCUAUUAUUUUGGAUCGUUAAGCUUGUUACCUGAGUAGUAUUAGUUAUGUUCUUGAAACUUAAAGAAUUUGGCGGUAUCUUAUUCCGUCCAGAGGAAUCUGUCUCGUUAUCGAUAGUCCACGUUGGACCUUACUUAGUUGCUUUGGUUUGUAUACCGCCGUUUAUUGAUUAUCUUUUUAGGGUUUAUUUAAUUUUCUAGCUUCUUUAUUUUGGUCUAUUUCAGGUCAAGGUGCAGCUUGUUUCUAAGUGGUAUGAUGGAUUACAUUGUUAUUUGUUUAUUUGGAUUGUUGAUUUUAAUAUUGGCAUGAAAUUGGAUUUGGUUGUAAUGUUUUGUAGAUUAUUUUCAUGAUAAUUGGUUCUGAGAUAUGUACACAUCGCCCGUCGCUCUCGUUUAUUUGUUAAUGAGAUAAGUCGUAACAAAGUGGUUGUACCGGAAGGUGCAGCUGGAUUGAC